UUCCUUAUCAGAUCUCUCUCUCUCUCUCUCUCUCUCUCCACCGUAUCUCUUCCCCUCGUUUCCAUCCUCCAUCAAUCGGUCCACGUCUAUGUCCGUUGACAAUGAACGUCGGCUACCAAUCGACAAUUUUUUAUAUCCAGAUCAUCGGUGAAGAAUUUACGAACCUGUAGAUCGACAAUUUUCGUGUUCACCUUCGAUUGCAAUAUUUGAAGCCCUAAAUCACCCAAUUCAUGAUCAUCGAUUCAUCGAGAUCGAUCAACAAUGAUCUCUCAAGUUUUUUUAAGCAUCAAUUUAGGUACAAAUCAAAUAAUCAUACCGUUCCAUUAUUCCUAAACCAAAAUCAGUCGAGAAACAAAGUAGAAGGAAGCGUAAAACUAUAACAACCACGUAGAAAUCGGCAUCGAUGAGUUGAGCUUCGAAUUCGAUUACAGAAGCAUCAAGUGGAUCAUUAUCUGGAUCAGCAAGCUUCCAGAAGAAAAAUUGUUGAAGAAGUGGAAUUUGUGUCUCUCCUCAGUGUCAGUAUAUGUAUAUGUAAUCAAUUAGGUAACAGCUGAGGAACUGCAUUUACACAAAGCAAUUCAUUAUAAUGGAUUCUCUCGUUGAUAAUUAUUUGAAGCCUUAUUCACAUCAGUCGUCUAAAGGUUAUUCUUGAUAUUCUGGAAAUGCUAAAAAAAGCCUGAUGUCAAUGCAAUGCUUCAUUAAUUUGGAUUCCAGCUUUAUGAAUUGUCUUUGGAUCUCCUCACAUUAAUUUGGAUUUCAGAUUUGGAAGAAAUUGUGGUGAAUAUUGAAGAGGUGAAAAAUGAUAAAUUGAAGAAAAUAAAGAAAUAUUGACACGAAGACAUUAGAACACUUUGAAAUUUGUAGUAUUUUUUCAUUUUUUAUAUUUUAUUUUGUAUCGAAUAAAAUACUUGUACUAUUACGUUUAUAGAUUAAUUAAUAAAAAUGCGAUUUUUUA